rnacentral:rRNA from 1 species
UGGCGAACGGGUGAGUAAUGUAUCGGAACGUACCUUUCAGUGGGGGAUAACGUAGCGAAAGUUACGCUAAUACCGCAUAUUCUGUGAGCAGGAAAGCAGGGGAUCGCAAGACCUUGCGCUGAUUGAGCGGCCGAUAUCAGAUUAGCUAGUUGGUGGGGUAAAGGCCUACCAAGGCUACGAUCUGUAGCGGGUCUGAGAGGAUGAUCCGCCACACUGGAACUGAGACACGGUCCAGACUCCUACGGGAGGCAGCAGUGGGGAAUUUUGGACAAUGGGGGCAACCCUGAUCCAGCCAUGCCGCGUGAGUGAAGAAGGCCUUCGGGUUGUAAAGCUCUUUCGGCCGGGAAGAAAUCGCAUCAGCUAAUACCUGGUGUGGAUGACGGUACCGGAAUAAGAAGCACCGGCUA